rnacentral:rRNA from 1 species
CGGACGGGUGAGGAAUACAUCGGAAUCUACUCUGUCGUGGGGGAUAACGUAGGGAAACUUACGCUAAUACCGCAUACGACCUACGGGUGAAAGCAGGGGAUCUUCGGACCUUGCGCGAUUGAAUGAGCCGAUGUCGGAUUAGCUAGUUGGCGGGGUAAAGGCCCACCAAGGCGACGAUCCGUAGCUGGUNUGAGAGGAUGAUCAGCCACACUGGAACUGAGACACGGUCCAGACUCCUACGGGAGGCAGCAGCG